CAGACAGUUGAACUCGUCCUUGUUUGAACCGUCGUUGUGAUGAAGUUAUUGAGUUGUUUGCUCAUCAGGAUAUGACAAUAACUAAAAAAAUGGACAUUGUUUAGGCUAAUUAGUGUUAAGAAGGGUUCCUGUCUUAAUUUGGGAAACGUCACUGCCAACAACGAACAAGUGACGUGAGUCCAAAGCAAGCUAAUGUUACCCCAGUUAGCAACAGUUCGGCAAAUGUUCAGUAAUGACCUGUUCAUUCCCCAAACAGGUUAUUAGGUUUAGAGGACAUAUGGUGUGAUGAGGAACUUUUGGUGAGGCUUCAAGGUGAUAAAAAUUUGUCAAUAUCUCCCGUCAACCGGUGUCCAAGCUGCACUCCACAUCGUCAAUCCAUCAAUCCAUCAGUCCAUCCACCCAUCCCGCCAGUCAGGCAGUUGGCACGACAGCCAGUUAUUAUCUCACACAAAAUGAUGUUUUAUCAUCAGAUUUAGACACACCAGAAGAAACACGUGCACGCCCACAGCUGCUUUCCAAGACACACAGAUGUGCGCAGGAGGCCGAACCACUGACUGACACUUUGGGCUUGGAGAAGGCCGCCCCCUGCCGCCACUGAGGACAACUACACUAAUACAGACAAGAGCGCCUCAACAGUUACACACUCAAGAGUUGGGGUUUUUGCCGUAUGCAACUAGCUACCGUCUCCAACGCUUGUGCAAAACAAAAGAAAACUGGUAGGUCAGGAGCCGGACACGAGGGCGAACGGUGUGCCGAGAGCUGGAGAGACCCGGGACGAUGGAAAGAGAAAGGAGGAUCAGAUCACCUCGCCCACAGAGCCUCUCACCCCGACACACUGAGGUCAGAAAAAUCACACAGGUUUCUUAAAGUUCCAGUCACAAUAUUUUUUUUUUGUUGUCCCAGAAGUGGUUGUCUUUUACAUAGUCCUUUUUUUUUUGUCAGUUCCUCAGUGGCACUUUACAAAUACAUUUUUGACCAUUUUGAAAAUUUCAAGCUCCUUUGGUUUUUGGCUGACCGACUAAGUCCAUCUUGUUUGAUUUCCCCGCACAUAAGUCUUUAAAUAAGAACAUCCUGGGAAAGAAGUGCUACUCUCACCUUUAGGGAGCAGUCAGCCAUCAUCUGGCUGCACUGUGUUGAAUCAUUCUUCUCAUUUUUCAUGAUCAAGCAGUUUCUUAACCAGUACAUUUCAGUCAGCUCUUCCCUUUACCCCCCUCCAGGGUCUGGUAGAUAUCUGGGCAGUCAGGAUCUUGGGCAGCUGCUGAUUGUGUGUGUAUCUGUGCGUGUGUGUGUGCUUUGAUAGACCGUCGCUGUGGCGGCACAAGAUUGGAAGUGGCAAGAGCCAGACAAAGACUGCUCCUGGUGUUGGGAUUAGCAGUCAAAACACUGUCUUCCAGAGUCGUUUGUGUGCUUCUUACAGAGGAUCCAACUUGGGUCGGGGCCUCCAGGUGUUUGUAUCUAAUAGGUUAAUUUUGCAGUAGCCACAUAAGCCAGAUGGAAGCAGAAAUCAUGAGCAUUUUCUUUGAAGUAAAUGUAUGCUGGGCGGGGAAAAAUGUGCGAAUGUUGCAAAGGGGGUAUAGAUCAGGGAUGCUGUGGUUUGUAAAGUUUUAGCGUCAGUCACAUUUCAAUAAAGGAAAAGUUCAGAGAAGCACUAAUCCUUCCCUACCCCCAUCAGUCUUUUUCUUAAAUACAACUCCAGCUACAUUGAAAGAACACAAGAACAUUCAAGGUUUGCCUGGACUCGCCCCAAAUGUCGCAGAUAUGUAUGCUUCGCUUGUAGGUACAGUGUAAACUUGGCAAACCAUCCUUGCAUUAAUUUUCUUCAGAGGUGUUCAUUUGGCUUGCAGUCAUCAUUGAUGGUUCCUCUUGAUUCCAUAUGUUGAAUAUAGAACUACAAUAAACUGGACUCUAGAGAUGAUCUUAACUAUCCUAUUUUUGAAAAAAGUUCUCAACAAAAUGGACACCCACUCCUGGUGGUUUUUAAAGAAUUACCUAUCAGUGUAAAUUCUUGAAGGCAACAUAAAAAUGUUUUUUCCCCUCUUUUCUUCCAGCAGGGGGACUGAAGUAUGCCAAUAUGGCCAGCUUUCAAGCAAUCGCCCCUUGAAGCUCUCCCUGUGGUGAAGCUGAGGGAUCCCCCGCAUUGCACUGUGGGAGACGCCAAACCUCAGCCCCGAACCACCCCUCGGAUAAAUUCAGGUAAACUAGUCUAUGCAGCAGAGUGGAUGAGGAAAACAAAAAUAUUUUCUCGGGGGAGAGGAAGCAGAAAAAAAGGUCAAGGAAGAAGUCAUCUUUGAAAGGCGGAGGGAGGAAGUCACAUGAUGAAAAAAGAUGGGGACAGGUCUUCGCUCAGGCACGGCUCGGUUUCUGAUGGGGUCUCUUCCCAGUGCGCCCUGGGAAGUGCGGUCCUCAGCUCUCCAGACUCAUGAAGGCCACCACCUGCUCCAGCUUGAAGGCCAGCCUCUGUUUCCUGGCUGCAUCGUCCUGCUCCAGUGCACACACAAUCUGCCGGCAGGACAGUGAGGAUGGACAUUGAAAUACAUAAAAACUGCAGUGAAUCCUGGUGACAGCUGCUAGUCUUCACAGAGGAGCAAGCUACACACUUUUGGGGAGAUGACUUUGAAGCCUACAAGUGGUGAGUCUUAAUGAACAUGUCUGCCUAACUUUUCACAAUUGUCCUCUCACUGAAUCCCAAAUCCACAUGGGUAAAGCCAGUUGAUGAAGAUGUUCCUACAGUUAUCUUAAUAACCUUCAGUAGGUAAAAGUAACAUUACAAGCACCAUCUGUUACUUUCUGGAUUUUCUUAAACACCCUGGGCUUUGGCUGAAUAUAACCAUCUGAUUGGUGGAGUGUGCUGGACUUGUACACAGACUGAGAAUUUGAUUCAAGACACUUCUCAGGACAGAAAAACUAAAUUAAAACAAGUGCAUUUGUUGGUCUACUUUCAUUAAAACAAUAAAGCCAGUUUGCUAGAUUGAAGGUUGGCAAGGACAACUUUUCAGUGGAGUGUUCCUUUUACUCUUCUUGUCCAAAAAAAAUCCAAAACAUCAGUGGUAAGAAUUCUUACAUAAUAAG